GUAUGGACAAGCUGUCACGGGCACACGGUGGAUGCCUGGGCACCAGGAGCCGAUGAAGGACGUGGGAGGCUGCGAUAAGCCUGGGGGAGCUGUCAACCGAGCUGAGAUCCCAGGAUGUCCGAAUGGGGAAACCCAGCACUCGUGAUGGAGUGUUACCCGCACCUGAAUGUAUAGGGUGUGUGGAGGGAACGCGGGGAAGUGAAACAUCUCAGUACCCGUAGGAAGAGAAAACAACCGUGAUUCCCUGAGUAGUGGUGAGCGAAAGGGGAAGAGGCUAAACCGGCCGCGUGGUAAAGCCGGCAGGCGUUGCGUGGCCGGGGUUGUGGGACCGUUCGGCCGGAGCUGCCGGUCCGGCGGGGAUCGCGUCGUGAGGUCAGCCGAAUGCGUUGGAACACGCAGGCGGAGCGGGUGAUACCCCCUUAGGCGAAGGCCGCACGCCGACCCUGGAACGUCAUCCCGAGUAGCAGCGAGCCCGAGGAAUUUGCUGUGAAUCCGCCAGGACCACCUGGUAAGCCUAAAUACUCCCUGGUGACCGAUAGCGGAAGAGUACCGUGAGGGAAAGGUGAAAAGUACCCCGGGAGGGGAGUGAAAGAGUACCUGAAACCGUGUGCCUACAAACCGUCAGAGCCUUCGGGUGAUGGCGUGCCUAUUGCAAAAUGAGCCUGCGAGUUAGUGCUGCGUGGCAAGGUUAACCCGUGUGGGGAAGCCGUAGCGAAAGCGAGUCCGAAGAGGGCGUACGGAGUCGCGCGGCCUAGACCCGAAACCGAGUGAUCUACCCAUGGCCAGGGUGAAGCGCCGGUAAGACGGCGUGGAGGCCCGAACCCACUUAGGUUGAAAACUGAGGGGAUGAGCUGUGGGUAGGGGUGAAAGGCCAAUCAAACUCGGUGAUAGCUGGUUCUCCCCGAAAUGCAUUUACGUGCAGCGUCGUAUGAUUCACGGUGGGGGUAGAGCUACUGGAUGGCUGAGGGGCCUUACCGGGUUACCGAGGUCAACUAAACUCCGAAUACCAUCGUGACGAGUGCGGCAGUGAGUCGGCGGGGGAGAAGCUUCGCUGACAAAAGGGAAACAGCCCAGAUCACCGGCUAAGGCCCCCAAGUGUGUGCUGAGUGGGAAAGGAUGUGGGACGGCACAGACAACCAGGAGGUUGGCCUAGAAGCAGCCAUCCUUGAAAGAGUGCGUAAUAGCUCACUGGUCAAGUGGUCCUGCGCCGAUAAUGUAGCGGGGCUAAGCACACCGCCGAAGCCGUGGCACUGCGUCGAUGACGCAGUGGGUAGGGGAGCAUCGAUCAUCCGCUGAAGUCGCGGCGUGAGCCAGUGAUGGAGGGUGGUCGAGAGAGAAUGCAGGCAUGAGUAGUGAAAGCAGAGUGAGAAUCUCUGCCGCCGGAUGACCAAGGGUUCCUGGGCCAGGCUGUUCCGCCCAGGGUUAGUCGGGACCUAAGGCGAGGCCGACAGGCGUAGUCGAUGGAUAACGGGUUAAUAUUCCCGUACCCGCGUGUGCGCGUUUGCAGCGAAGGGGCGACGCAGAAGGGUAGCCCAACCCGGGCGCUGGUUGACCCGGGGUAAAGGUGUAGGGCGGUACGCAGGGAAAGCCGCGUACCGGAUGCCUGAGACCUGAUGCCGAGCCAUAGAGGCGAAGUGGGUGAUCCCGCGCUGCCGAGAAAAACCUCUAGCGAGCGCACGGGCGGCCCGUACCCCAAACCAACACAGGUGGUCAGGUAGAGAAUACCGAGGCGAGCGGGUGAACCGUGGUUAAGGAACUCGGCAAAAUGUCCCCGUAACUUCGGGAGAAGGGGAGCCGGAUGGCGUGUACGCCCUGUGCGGUGGAAGCGCCGGCCGGCCGCAGAGACCAGGCCCGAGCGACUGUUUACUAAAAACACAGGUCCAUGCGAAGAAGCAAUUCGAUGUAUAUGGACUGACGCCUGCCCGGUGCUGGAACGUUAAGAGGACC
rnacentral:rRNA from 1 species